AAUAAUCUUUAAAAAAAAUAAUACAACGUUUAAGAGAAUUAAAAUACUAAAGAGUAAAUUGAUAAAUACUCAUUAAAAUUUUGUAUUUACAGUAUUUAUUGUCAGUUACUGGUUGGUUGCUUAUAAUUUGUAGGUAUACAAAAUAUAAAAAAAAUACAUAUAUAUAUAUAUAUAUAUAUAUUAUAUAUAAAUGUAGCCUACAAAAACUAUUAAAUUACAAGUUAGUUAUUGUUCAUAAGCGUGAUCAAACUGUGAAGCAUUAUGAACAUAAGGAGAUACUUUACUACCUAUUUAAGUCAUCUAUUAUUUGCUGUGUGUCACUUGAUGUUGGCUUAUUUAACCGAUGUUUCUCGUAAAUAUUUAAUUUAAUUUUUUUUUUUUCAAAUCGUAAAUGAAAGAGUAGCAUUGCAUUUCUGUUGAUGUAACAUUUUUAAGUUUGAAUCUAACCCGCCUGCCCGCCAUGCUCGUGUAAUAAGAAACGUUAUUUAAUUUUUUCUACACAAAUAAUUUUAAGCAACCAAAGUGGACGCCUAUAAAAUACCGGAAAUAAUACGGCUGAACAGUAAAAGCGCAGGAAUUAAUAUUCCGGAAUAACAUAUAACAAGAAAAUAAUAUGCAUGGAAUUGAAACAAAUUGAAAUUUAAGUUUAAGGAACGUAAUUACGAGAGAAAAAAAUAACAAGGAACGUAAAUUUGCCGGAAUGUAAAUUCGUCUUAAGCAGGACCAGUAUAAUUCUGUGUGUACUGUGUAUAGCUCCUGCAAAUACCGUGGAAAACGUUUAUUUUGCAUAGAUCCAAGCAGAUUUUUCAUACUCAUAUUUUUAUUUAAUUACUAUAAUUCAAAAUUGUAUUAAAAAUAUCAAAUCGGAAAUAAUGAACACUUUUUUUGAUUUUAAUAGGUAGUUAUAUAUUUAUUGAGC